GGAUGUGAGGACGACCUGGCUGCAACAUCUGUCACCCCACCGAUCACCAGGGUUGAUUCGGCCGAUCUGGCUGGCCCGGUGAUGUCCCCUUCCUCCCUCACUGCUCCAUGUGCGUCCCUCCAGAAGGUGCGCGCUCAAUCGAAGAGGACAACCACCCGCAAUAGAGGAGGACCGUUUCCUCCGUCAAGGGUAUGUGAGUAGCUGUGCUCCCCUGCUAGAAACUCCAAACAAACUAUCAAGAGUCCAAGCCUUACUGGCAAUUCACAUUACAGAAAAGCACAUCUUUUUUGUGUGGAAUUUGGAU
ensembl:misc_RNA 7SK 7SK RNA